CCAGGCUCCAAGCUGUCAGCACAGAGCCCAGUGCAGGGCUUGAACUCACAAACGGACGGAGCAGCGGCCUGCAAGCCCCUUACAGGCUGGCCCGGAACCCGGAAGUGCGGAUAGUGAAUUUUAAAAAGAUGAGCACCGCAGGCUGAAAGCCUCGUCAGUUUGACACCAGUGGAAAGCAGCCGUCAACAUAAACAGUGUUGCCACCUUCAGGGGAGACCCCGGUGCCCGGCGGAAGCUCUGAAUGCGAGGCCUGCUCUGUCCUUGUUGAAAGGGCGGCGAGCAAGUGCGGGAUCCGUGUUGGAGGCCUGCAGCCCGCAGAGAGAACUUCUCGAUGCCAUCAGAGCACGUGGAGGAGAAGCCGAAGCCGUGGGAAGAGCCACCAGGUAACAACUGCCCAGAACGGAUGCGCAGUUACAGGAGGUCCUUCCCCAGCACCCCCUUAAACCACCUCUGUCCCGCGUGACCUACAGGAGCCAUGUGAAUCCCUUACCUCAGAACAAAAGGCUUUUCACAUUCUCUUUGGCCUUUUAAAAAAAAUCUUUGAGGCUUCUUUCUACCACAUUCGGCCAGGCCCUAAAACUUAACUUACCUUCCCAAUUUACUCUCAACUUAUCUUCGUGUUUUAGGAAUACGUAAACGAUCAGUGGUGCAAUAAAUAAAUAUGUAAAGACAAAUCGGAUUUGAACAAC